GGCGCACGGGUGAGUAACACGUAUCCAACCUGCCGUCUACUCUUGGACAGCCUUCUGAAAGGAAGAUUAAUACAAGAUGGCAUCAUGAGUCCGCAUGUUCACAUGAUUAAAGGUAUUCCGGUAGACGAUGGGGAUGCGUUCCAUUAGAUAGUAGGCGGGGUAACGGCCCACCUAGUCUUCGAUGGAUAGGGGUUCUGAGAGGAAGGUCCCCCACAUUGGAACUGAGACACGGUCCAAACUCCUACGGGAGGCAGCAGUGAGGAAUAUUGGUCAAUGGACGAGAGUCUGAACCAGCCAAGUAGCGUGAAGGAUGAAGGUCCUACGGAUUGUAAACUUCUUUUAUAAGGGAAUAAACCCUCCCACGUGUGGGAGCUUGUAUGUACCUUAUGAAUAAGCAUCGGCUAACUCCGUG
rnacentral:rRNA from 1 species